GGGAGCGGCACGUAGCGCAGGCCGGGGCUCUCGUCGAACGCUUUGGAGAAGAUGAGGCCGUGCCUCAUGUCAGCCCAGCAGAGCAGCUCGUCGCCGACGGGGAUGACGGUGUCGUUGUGCCACGUGGACGGAAAAUCCUUACCUUCACCGCCGUCAUGGCUAACCCGAGGUCGGGUGGCCCUCCACUCACCGGAGCGGAGCAGCCGGAGCUCGCCGGCCGCCAUCCGCGUCGUGUUGUCAUACCCAAUCCUGAGCUCCG
rnacentral:lncRNA from 1 species